rnacentral:rRNA from 1 species
AAAUUGAAGAGUUUGAUCAUGGCUCAGAUUGAACGCUGGCGGCAGGCCUAACACAUGCAAGUCGAACGGUAGCACAGAGAGCUUGCUCUCGGGUGACGAGUGGCGGACGGGUGAGUAAUGUCUGGGAAACUGCCUGAUGGAGGGGGAUAACUACUGGAAACGGUGGCUAAUACCGCAUAACGUCGCAAGACCAAAGAGGGGGACCUUCGGGCCUCUUGCCAUCAGAUGUGCCCAGAUGGGAUUAGCUUGUUGGUGAGGUAACGGCUCACCAAGGCGACGAUCCCUAGCUGGUCUGAGAGGAUGACCAGCCACACUGGAACUGAGACACGGUCCAGACUCCUACGGGAGGCAGCAGUGGGGAAUAUUGCACAAUGGGCGCAAGCCUGAUGCAGCCAUGCCGCGUGUAUGAAGAAGGCCUUCGGGUUGUAAAGUACUUUCAGCGGGGAGGAAGGUGUUGUGGUUAAUAACCGCAGCAAUUGACGUUACCCGCAGAAGAAGCACCGGCUAACUCCGUGCCAGCAGCCGCGGUAAUACGGAGGGUGCAAGCGUUAAUCGGAAUUACUGGGCGUAAAGCGCACGCAGGCGGUCUGUCAAGUCGGAUGUGAAAUCCCCGGGCUCAACCUGGGAACUGCAUUCGAAACUGGCAGGCUUGAGUCUUGUAGAGGGGGGUAGAAUUCCAGGUGUAGCGGUGAAAUGCGUAGAGAUCUGGAGGAAUACCGGUGGCGAAGGCGGCCCCCUGGACAAAGACUGACGCUCAGGUGCGAAAGCGUGGGGAGCAAACAGGAUUAGAUACCCUGGUAGUCCACGCCGUAAACGAUGUCUACUUGGAGGUUGUGCCCUUGAGGCGUGGCUUCCGGAGCUAACGCGUUAAGUAGACCGCCUGGGGAGUACGGCCGCAAGGUUAAAACUCAAAUGAAUUGACGGGGGCCCGCACAAGCGGUGGAGCAUGUGGUUUAAUUCGAUGCAACGCGAAGAACCUUACCUGGUCUUGACAUCCACAGAACUUUCCAGAGAUGGACUGGUGCCUUCGGGAACUGUGAGACAGGUGCUGCAUGGCUGUCGUCAGCUCGUGUUGUGAAAUGUUGGGUUAAGUCCCGCAACGAGCGCAACCCUUAUCCUUUGUUGCCAGCGGUUAGGCCGGGAACUCAAAGGAGACUGCCAGUGAUAAACUGGAGGAAGGUGGGGAUGACGUCAAGUCAUCAUGGCCCUUACGACCAGGGCUACACACGUGCUACAAUGGCGCAUACAAAGAGAAGCGACCUCGCGAGAGCAAGCGGACCUCAUAAAGUGCGUCGUAGUCCGGAUUGGAGUCUGCAACUCGACUCCAUGAAGUCGGAAUCGCUAGUAAUCGUGGAUCAGAAUGCCACGGUGAAUACGUUCCCGGGCCUUGUACACACCGCCCGUCACACCAUGGGAGUGGGUUGCAAAAGAAGUAGGUAGCUUAACCUUCGGGAGGGCGCUUACCACUUUGUGAUUCAUGACUGGGGUGAAGUCGUAACAAGGUAACCGUAGGGGAACCUGCGGUUGGAUCACCUCCUUACCUUAAAGAA